UACAGAGGGUGCAAGCGUUAAUCGGAGUUACUGGGCGUAAAGGGCGCGUAGGCGGAUAGAUGUGUGUGAUGUGAAAGCCCCGGGCUUAACCUGGGAAGUGCAUCGCAAACUGUUUAUCUAGAGUAUAUGAGAGGGUGGCGGAAUUUCCGGUGUAGCGGUGAAAUGCGUAGAGAUCGGAAGGAACGUCAAUGGCGAAGGCAGCCACCUGGCAUAAUACUGACGCUGAGGCGCGAAAGCGUGGGGAGCGAACAGG
rnacentral:rRNA from 1 species